AAUAGAUACCCUGGUAGUCCACGCCGUAAACGUUGGGCGCUAGAUGUGGGGACCUUUCCACGGUUUCCGUGUCGUAGCUAACGCAUUAAGCGCCCCGCCUGGAGAGUACGGCCGCAAGGCUAAAACUCAAAGGAAUUGACGGGGGCCCGCACAAGCGGCGGAGCAUGCGGAUUAAUUCGAUGCAACGCGAAGAACCUUACCAAGGCUUGACAUACACGAGAACGGGCCAGAAAUGGUCAACUCUUUGGACACUCGUGAACAGGUGGUGCAUGGUUGUCGUCAGCUCGUGUCGUGAGAUGUUGGGUUAAGUCCCGCAACGAGCGCAACCCUCGUCGCAUGUUGCCAGCACGUUAUGGUGGGGACUCAUGUGAGACUGCCGGGGUCAACUCGGAGGAAGGUGGGGAUGACGUCAAAUCAUCAUGCCCCUUAUGUCUUGGGCUUCACGCAUGCUACAAUGGCCGGUACAAAGGGCUGCGAUGUCGUAAGGCGGAGCGAAUCCCAAAAAGCCGGUCUCAGUUCGGA
rnacentral:rRNA from 1 species